rnacentral:rRNA from 1 species
AACGAACGCUGGCGGCAGGCCUAAUACAUGCAAGUCGAGCGCCCCGCAAGGGGAGCGGCGCACGGGUGCGUAACGCGUGGGAACGUGCCCCUAGGUAGGGAAUAACACAGGGAAACUUGUGCUAAUACCUUAUAAUAUCGAGAGAUCAAAGAUUUAUCGCCUAGGGAUCGGCCCGCGUCUGAUUAGAUAGUUGGUAGGGUAAUGGCCUACCAAGUCUACGAUCAGUAGCUGGUCUGAGAGGAUGAUCAGCCACACUGGAACUGAGACACGGUCCAGACGCCUACGGGAGGCAGCAGUAAGGAAUAUUGGACAAUGGGCGCAAGCCUGAUCCAGCCAUGCCGCGUGAGUGAAGAAGGCCUUAGGGUUGUAAAGCUCUUUCGUCUGCAAGGAUAAUGACAGUAGCAGAAGAAGAAGCUCCGGCUAAAUUCGUGCCAGCCGCCGCCGUAA